rnacentral:lncRNA from 1 species
UCCAUCGGGAUUCAUACGUUUUCUUGGGCUUAUAUGCACGACUAAGGGAAGCCUCGUCCCAUCUGAUUUGGGUGUUGUGCGUCCAUCAUCUAAGAGAGAAAAAAAAUGAAUGGCCGCAUGUGCGUUUCUUUUCUUCUGCUCGUGUGUGCGCAUAACAAAAAAGAAUCAGUUCUUGGCAUGUUGUUCUGAUCGUCGAGCAAGGAGCAGAAAAAAUCGAUUGACCCCUUCUAUCAGGGGGUGCAUCGACUGCAAGAAAGAAAGAAGAAGAUGAGGGCAGGGGCAGGUUGCGAACAUUAGCAAGCAAGUCCCAAUCGGUCUUGUUGUGGGGUAUCGAUCACAAUAGCAAGGGAUGUGGCUCUGAUUUCUUGCUCCAAACUUGUUGAAUCGGUCAUUCAUCUUGGUAAUUCCCUGAAUCUCCUUCCUAUGAAGUUCAUACUUCAAUUAGAUUCAAAUUACUUGCUGUGUUGGGGUUUAAUCAUGCUCUCUUUCACUUCAAAAUUCAAAUCAUGUUUUUGUUCCCACUAUUUGAUGAAUUUACUACAAUCAUGGAUUGAAUUGUUUUUCUUUUGGUGAAUUGCCUAUUGAUUCUUGAAUCACCAAAAUAUGUAUGUUCCUAUGUAAAGAAUUCUCUUCAUUAAAAUCAUGUUUUGAACACUCCUAAAGACCCUCAAAGCAGCCCCUUGAGGCCUUGAUAUGUGGGUGACUAUGUUGUUGUUUGGACUAGCAAAUAUUUCAUCAAAAGUCUAGCUUGAAAGUUCUCACAACUCUUGGUAGUAUUGUUUGUAUUUAUGGUAUUCAAAACCAUGACUUGGAGGCUGAAACAACAAACUUGAAAACCCCAUAAUUUGUGUCUAAAAGUUCACUCAAAGUUCAUCCCUAUAUGUAUCUUGAAUGUGAACUAAGUCUUUAUUGGUGUAUGAAGAUGUUUGGUGUUUGGUGUUUAUGGGCAUCUUAUUUUCAAUAAUCUUUUAGUCAAUUCUUGGCCUUUUCAUAAACCACUUAAUUUAUGUCUUAAUACCUUCAUUCAAGCUUUUGGUGUGUUAAUUCGUGUGUCUUUAAUCCUUUGUCCAAGUCAUAAAUCAUAUGCUGAUUCUUGGCAAUUAUUGGAAAUCUGCACAGCAACUUUUCCCCAUCUUGCAAGGGCUGUAGCUGCUAAUCUGAGCAUAAUUGGCCGAUACCCGUCUCUGGAUAAAAUGUAGGAAAUCGAGUCUAGUUUUCAAAAAGUCUAGAUUCAGCUCAAUCAAAGUUACAUAUUCUGUUUUAUGACCAAAACACUGAGCAGUGCUCAAGCUGUGAAACUUAAAAAAAAUAUGUAACCCAUUAAGAAAUUAAAGGUGUUAAUGAAACUUGGACCCCAUUUUGAUGAUUGUUUGAUAUGUGUGAUUAUUAGGUGAAAACUUGACAACUUCAAGAAGGGUCAAGGCUUGAAAUAAAAAGGAGAACUCGCUUCAAACAUAAGGUGAGUCGACAAUUUUUGUUGACUUUAGUACAUAACCGAAAACCACAUCUCAUAGGUGGAUUGUUGAUGCAAAUUAGGAUUCAUGCUAGAUUUUUGUGAUAAUUAUUGAAAAUAUGUUGUUUGCAUCUUAUGUGUGGUUAUUCCUUGGCAUCAGUUGCUAUGGUGAUAUUCAUGUUAUGUGAACGUUGUAAAUUGCAUGCGGAUACGGUGUUUCAUGAAUUUGUAGUUAUAUGCUAAUGUAUGGUGACCUCUUAAUGAACUUCAUUACAUGAUAAUUACUCGUUUAAGUUGUAAGAGUAAUAUGAUUAUUAUGGUGUAUGCAUGCUUUUGCGGGGUAUAACGGUGACAUGGGUAGAACCUUGCAAGCCUAAUGGGUUGAAAGAGCUUAAGCCAUAACGGUGAUUAGUUACACGAACUUUUCUAGAUGGUCGUGUGACACGUGGUUCGUGUGCACCUCGGUGUACGGGAACUGGAGUGGUGUUGGCUUUAUGGUGUGGCCGGAUCAAACAUUACGUGGGAAUCGAGAGGUGUAUCAUUGGAAUUGGCACCGUUUGUACCGAUCCUGAACGACACCGUAAAGUACUUGUACUUUGCAAGUCGGAGUAGCGAAAGUGGAAGUCUUGGGGUUGGUGUAUUCAGGUGGAAGUCAUGAGCCACUUAGACCACUAAACUGGCUGAGCACACGAGUAGUGAACAGGGUUAAGUUGUCGGGUAGACCCUCCCUAAGGAACCCCAAAGUAGUUAAUCGGUUGAAUUAGAAAUUACAUAUAAUAAACGGUGAAUUAAAUUAUAUGUAAUAAUCGGUUGAGUUAAGUUGAAAACUAUAUGAUUGAAAUAAAUUAUAAUAUCAUGUUAUUUGUUUUUCUUGACAAUGUUAUUAUCACGAUUUGCAUGGAUGAUCUUUACGGGAAUUGUGUGUUCUCUUUUUGGUUGUGUACAAGUUGUCGGCUCACGUGGCAGUUGCUAACACUUGUUUCUUUGUUGGAUGCCUUUUGAUUGGUACAGGUAUCUUAGGAGCAUGGCUUGGUGAGGUUGGGUUCCUUUUGGGUAGUUAGUUUUAAUAAAGAUGCCACCUGAACAUAUUUGGUUUUUAUUUUCCUUUGAACUCCUUUUUGCAAUAAUUAAAUGGUUGAAUGUUGUUUAUGAAAAUGGUAACGCGUGGUUUUGAAAAUGUUUUGAAUUAAAAAGGAAACUAAGUCUUCCGCUAACGUAUUUUGUUAAAUAAAUGUUUUAAAAAGAAAAUAAAAUUAUGGUGAAAAUCACGACGUUACAGUUUUCCUUUUGAAGAUGAUUUUACACAUGUUGAUCAAGGUGAAAGAACAUUCCCUUCUUCGUGCAUUCGUGGAACUGUAAAUCAUACUUUUCUUCCUCCACCUCCUCCAGUGAUUCUCCUUGACCCACGUUUUCGUCGACUUGAAAAGUUCAAGAUCACUCAAGCCCUAUUGGCAUGCAAACACCUAGAUGGAAAUUAUGUGUGUGCACACGCCCUGAAGAUGAAGCCGCACAUUAACAGACUGGGAAUUGUAACACCGUAUUUUCCAAAACAAUUUUUCGCAUUUUAUAAAAACAUAAUUCAUUCAUUAUUCAUAAAAAUAUCAUUGUUUAAAACUCAAUUCAUAACAUAUAUCAAUCCUAAGAUCUCAUAACAUAAAAAUCCCGUGUGUGUACCGAUCAAGCCGGCGCCUUUCCGCGAUCCUCACUAGUACCUGAAACACAUGACAUAAAACACUGUAAGCACAAAGCUUAGUGAGUUCCCCAAAAAAACCCACAAAAAACACAUAUUAGCCACUCGAGGCUAUAACUCUAUGGGUCCGUGCACCCAAACUCUGUAACCCUCAGGUUCUAACUCUGUAAACAUGCACAACAUAAAUCACAUAGAAUAAUGCAGUGCAACACAUAACACAUAUAUAGCAUACAAACACUGUAUCACAUAACUCUAGUUACCUACUCAAGGUAAAGUAUAGUGAGAAGACUCACCUUGGAUAUCUCAGUAAAUCUCUGACUCGGUAACUCUGGUCUAGCCCCUGCCUAAUCACAUGAAAUAAAUACUCUAAUUAAUACCACCCUCAGGGCUAGGCUAAUCUCUUUCUCUCUAUACAUCCUCUAGGAAGGGUAAAAGACUAUCCCACCCUUCUGAUGUCUCUAAGGUCCAAACAUUGACUAACCCUAAAAGUCAACAAAGUCAACGGUCAACCUUGACCAAACUCGCCAAGUGCACAACUAUGACUCGGCGAGUCCACACGUGAUCUUUACUCUCCUAGUCCUCAUUCGACUCACUGAGUCAACCUCAACUCUGCAAAACAUCACUGAUCACAAUCUGUGAAAUGUCCCGACCCAACUCGCCGAGUCCGGCUCCUGACUCGGCAAGUACCAUCGUGCACUCUGACCUCUAGAUUCCCUCUGACUCACCGAGUCGCUUCCCCAACUCAGUGAGUCACCAACUGUGUGAUUAUUGGGAAAACCCUCGUCCUACUCGCCGAGUCGGCUAUUGGACUCGGCGAGUCCAUGCCAUGCUCAAGCUGAACUGACCUCUUGAGGUCAGAUCCGCUCCUGUAAACCAUAGAUCCAGCUUCCCAAAGCAUAAUAAUCACGUAAAUUUAACAUCUUGGUGCUCAUGCAAAGGCUCAAAGGCCUUAUUUGAAGAUAUGGCCUCUAAAAUGACAUCCUAAGCUCAUAACCUCCAUUAACACCCAUAAAGCUCAAGGGAAAAGGGUCUCUGGACCUCUUUGGGUCCAGAUCUACAGCACCAAUACGAGAAGGGACCAAUUACUCCAUAUAACCAUCCUCUAAAGGGGCUAAAAAGCCCUAACUCUAAGAAUUACACCAUAAACUGAAGAAGGGUCGAAUGAAUACCUCAAAAUGAAGUCUCUGAGCCUUGGAAUCACUGGAUUAGCACCCUCUUCAGCCUCAUCUUGUCUUGGUCCUCUUCUAUUUGCAAAAACACCAACAAUGAUCAAGAAAUGACUCCUUUCCUCUCACAAACGCUCUAGCUCACUUAGGGUUUCUCUCUGGGGUCUGGUAGCCGCAAUUGACGGCCAUAAUGCCCUUUAAAUAGGCCCCAAACCCGAGGAAUUAGGGUUUCAUUAAACAGCAUGGACUCGCCGAGUCCUUGGGGCGACUCGCCGAGUCCAGCCAUCCACCCGGAUAAUGAUUCGUGUCCCUACUCGGCGAGUCUACGCAUCAACUCGCCGAGUUCUUCCACAAAACUUGAAAUUCAACGAAUAAAUAUAAUACCUGAAAUUCCGGAUGUUACAGGAAUGUUUGGUGUCGUUUUCCUAAGGAAGUUAGUUGUUGAGUUGGUUCUUCAAUCGCUUCCUGAGUCAUAUAGUUAAUUCGUUAAGGACUACUAUAUGACGCACUGGUCAAGCGAAUUUGUUUGGAAGAUCUACCUCCUAAAUUUCCAUGGACGUAGGAAAUGACAACGAUGAUAGUCCGGAAAUGAUUUCUUCUCCUAAGAGAGAGAAAUCGGAUAAGAUCAAAAAGUUUGACCGUAAGAGAAAGGACGAUGCUGAGAUAGUUUCACGUGUCAUUCCUAAAGAUUCCAUCUGUCUUUAGUUCCAAUUGAAGGGGAACCAGAAGCAAACUUGCCCAGACUACCUGAGAUAUCUUAGAGAUGAUAAAGUCAAAUUGUAUAACUCUGCUUCAGGUACGUCCACU